rfam:Homo sapiens chromosome 14, GRCh38 reference primary assembly.
GCUGGGCAUGGUGGUGUGUGCCUGUAGUCCCAGCUACUCGGGAGGCUGAGGCAGGAGAAUUGCUUGAACCCAGGAGGCAUAGGUUGCAGUGAGCCAAGAUCGGGCCACUGCAGUCCAGCCUGGCAACAGAGCGAGACUCUGUCUCUA